rnacentral:rRNA from 1 species
GACGAACCGUGCGACCGUUGUUCGGAAUCACUGGGCUUAAAGGGCGCGUAGGCGGCUUCGCAAGUCCGGGGUGAAAGCCCCCAGCUCAACUGGGGAAGUGCCUCGGAUACUGCGGAGCUCGAGGGAGGUAGGGGCGGAUGGAACUUCCGGUGGAGCGGUGAAAUGCGUUGAUAUCGGGAGGAACGCCGGUGGCGAAAGCGAUCCGCUGGCCCUCUACUGACGCUGAGGCGCGAAAGCCAGGGGAGCAAACGGG